CGGUGCUUGCACUGGUCAAUCUAGUGGCGAACGGGUGAGUAACACGUGGGUAACCUGCCCAUCAGAGGGGGAUAACAUCCGGAAACGGAUGCUAAAACCGCAUAGGUCUUCGAGCCGCAUGGCUUGAAGAGGAAAAGAGGCGCAAGCUUCUGCUGAUGGAUGGACCCGCGGUGCAUUAGCUAGUUGGUGAGGUAACGGCUCACCAAGGCCGUGAUGCAUAGCCGACCUGAGAGGGUGAUCGGCCACAUUGGGACUGAGACACGGCCCAAACUCCUACGGGAGGCAGCAGUAGGGAAUCUUCCGCAAUGGACGCAAGUCUGACGGAGCAACGCCGCGUGAGUGAAGAAGGUUUUCGGAUCGUAAAACUCUGUUGUUAGAGAAGAACAAGUGCUAGAGUAACUGUUAGCGCCUUGACGGUAUCUAACCAGAAAGCCACGGCUAACUACGUGCCAGCAGCCGCGGUAAUACGUAGGUGGCAAGCGUUGUCCGGAUUUAUUGGGCGUAAAGCGAGCGCAGGCGGUUCCUUAAGUCUGAUGUGAAAGCCCCCGGCUCAACCGGGGAGGGUCAUUGGAAACUGGGGAACUUGAGUGCAGAAGAGGAGAGUGGAAUUCCAUGUGUAGCGGUGAAAUGCGUAGAUAUAUGGAGGAACACCAGUGGCGAAGGCGACUCUCUGGUCUGUAACUGACGCUGAGGCUCGAA
rnacentral:rRNA from 1 species